CUUUCUCUCUCUAUAUCUCCCUCUUUCUUCAAGUAAACGAUUCCUUGUCUUAUUAAACUCUCUGAAUUAUAAACCCUAGAAAGUUCCUCUUUUUCUAAUUGAGUUAAUUUAUCUUGGUUUCUGGAAUUCUAAGUCUUGAUCUACUCUGAACUCACCUGGGUAUAAUUCAGAGUUUUUUGGGGUUUGAAAUUUUGCGUUAAUUUAAUUUGGUUUUCUCUGAGGCAAAACAUAGGGUAUGCAUUUUUCUUAUUGAAAUUGCUGGAAGUGGAUUCUGUUUAAUUGGAGAUUGGUGUGAUUUAGUAUCCAAUUUUACACAAAAUUAUUCUAUUUGAUUGAAGUCUUUCUGCUUGGAAUAUUGUCAGAGAAUUUGUUCUUAUUCGAUUUCAGCUGAUAGGUUUAAUUUGGGUAUUAAUUUGAAACUAUGUGUGAUCAUUUUUGACUCUUGAACAACAAGUUUUGGAUUUUGGAUUCUGGGUGUUUAUUUUUAUUUUUUUGGGAUUAAUGUGAAUGAGAUUGAGCAUUUUGAUCAUUAGGGUAUGAUUGGUAUUGUGGGAUAUUGGUUAUUGUGGUUGAAUUGUGGGUUCUUAUGAUCAGUGUUCAUUUGGUGAUUUUCGCGGUCAAGGAGGUUUGAUCUGUGUUUGUUUAUUAUGAUGAUGGACGAAAUUCAAGGUGGUUCAAAUGCUUUGCCUCCUUUCCUUACAAAGACUUAUGAGAUGGUGGAUGAUCCCACCACUGAUUCCAUUGUUUCGUGGAGUUCGACUAAUAAGAGCUUUAUUGUGCUGAAUCCCCCUGAAUUUUCCAGGGUUUUGUUACCUAGGUUCUUCAAACACAACAAUUUCUCUAGCUUCAUUAGGCAGUUGAACACUUAUGGUUUCAGGAAGGUGGAUCCUGAGCAAUGGGAGUUUGCCAAUGACGAUUUUAUAAGAGGGCAAUCACAUCUUCUGAAAAAUAUACACAGACGCAAGCCGGUUCACAGUCACUCGUUGACUAAUCUUCAUGGACAGGUGAACUCGAAUCCAUUAACUGAUUCCGAAAGGCAGAAAUACAAAGAUGAUAUUGAGCGACUGAAACAUGAGCGGGAAUAUCUCCUGGCGGAGUCCCAAAGGCAAAGGCAGGAGGAGCAGGUAUUAGAGUCUCAAGUGCAGCUUGUGAAAGAGCGCAUGGAGUAUAUGGAAAAGCGGCAGCAUAAGUUUGUUUCAUACUUUGCUCAGAUAUUGAAGAAACCGGAGCUUGUUUUUGCUGUGCCUCAAGUAGAAAACCAUGAUAGAAAGAGAAGGGUGUCUUCUAGGCCUGACUACUUACAUGAUGAAACAAGCAACGAGGAUAGUGUGGGUACUUUGAGAGUAUCAAGGAGAGGAAGUCCUGAUGAAACUUAUGGUUUAGACCUUGACACUGAUCUGUUGGAGAGGAUGGAAUCAUCUUUGACAUUUUGGGAAAAUGUGGCUGAGGAUAUUGAGGAAUUAUGUGCGCUGCGAAAUUCAUCCAUUGAGCUUACUGAGUCCACUACUUGUGUAGAGAGCCCAGCGAUAUCUUAUACACAACUCAAUCUUGAUCUUCCGUCUACUUCAUCAAGAAUUGAUAUGAAUUCCGAACCUCCUGUCACAGCUAGCAUGGUUGCUCCUGAUCCACCCCAGCCACGGAAGGAGCAAGAAGCUGGAAAUGCUCCUGCAGCGCCACAGGGUGUGAAUGAUAUGUUCUGGGAACAAUUUUUGACUGAAAAUCCGGGUUCAUCUGAUGUACAGGAAGUUCAGUCUGAAAGGAAAGAAUCCGGAUUGAAAGAGAAAGACAGCAGAUUGAUAGAUCAUGGGAGAUAUUGGUUAGGUAUCAGAAAUUCUAACAAUCUUCCGGAACACAUUGGGCAGCUUACUUCAGCAGGCAGGAGCUAAUACUUUCUGAUCCUUUUUGACAUUGAUGAUUUAGAGUUGGAUGUAAAUAUAGGCUUGGUAGAUAUAAGACUGCAUAGAUUUGGCACGGUACAGACCACGCCUACAGCAGAGGCACACUGAGGUUGAUUAUUCUAGCUCAUUGAGGUACAUGGUUUCAUUGCUAAUUUAUGUUUUGUGGCAUAAUUUCUGUCAGUCCUAUGUUUAAUUUUGGUAGCUGCUUACUAUGUUCCAGCUUUUGAUCUUGUUGCUUGGACUGUGUACUUGUGUCAGACAUAAGUUUGUCAUAGUGUCGAAUUCGGCUUUUUGUCGAGUUUUUUUUUUUUUUUCAUGUUUAUGGUCCAAAAUGAAGUGUCAAGUGUUGAGGAAUCCAACACAGAUACUUGAGGUAAUAUGAAGAGUCAAAGCAACAAAAGAAAAUGAGAGUACACAGUACAUGUCAAUUUACAAUAUUGUUUCCUAAAAUGCGAUGUCACCGAUACAGUGACAAUUCCAUUUUUGAUCAAAUGUUAAUGAUGCUGGUACAGAGAGAAACCAAUAAGAGGUUUGUAGGGGUUAGAGGGGGUGGCUUCAAGUCUUUCUAUGAUAAGUUGACAUUCCUCCUAACUUUAAAAGGAGAAAGGCUUCAAGUGCACAUCAUUAGUUUGUUGGCAAAUGUGUACUUACCUAUCAUACUUUACACCUAUCUCUUUUGUUAUGAUUUAACCAACCAAAUUGCCCUUUUAGCCCUAUCUGUAUCAGUGCUGCCCUUAACUUAAUUGGUUUUUAGCCUGCUUCGUAACUUCUGGUGUGAUUAUGUGGCACCUAUAUUAACCAAGAAAAUUAACUUUUUUUUUUGUUUUUUGUGGUGAUUUUGUGGUUCAUAUAUUGGAUACUUUUGACUUUUGUAAUUGGUAACCAUUUGCUGGAAUUAGGGAAGCAAUGCAUCAUUACAUCCUCUUGAAGUGCCUUCAUUUAGGCUAGGAUUUGCAUCUUGAAUAAAAUUGUUCCUAACUAACUUGCAUGUUGUAUAUAUGACACCAUUAUCUUGCAUUUUGAGUUUUCCUUAUUGUCUGCCUUCUAUGUAGUCAUGUCCUAUUUGUUAGACUAUAAUAAAUGUCAACUCAUUCCUAGCUUGAGAUUGUUACCUCUAUAUUUUGGUUAUUGUAGAAUCGAGCACUAAGGUCUGUCCAAUUCGAGUGUACCCUCUUCUUUUUCAUUUCGUGCAUGAAACAAAUUUUUAUUACUCCCUCUAUGGCUCUA